GGCAUUCUGGGGAUUAUCUGAUGGUGCAUGUGGACGUUUAAACAUUUCUCAGUUGGGCCCCAAACCAAAGGUUUUAUAUUUGUUUUCCAGAGGGCCCACAGAGGAGGAGCCCACCGAUGUCUAAUCACCCAAUCUUUUCCUACUACUUUAGGAAGAACUAAAACACUCUCCAAAUCAUGGGGCAGGAGACAGAACAGCGCCACUAUUCUUUCCGGCGGCGUUUAUUUGAUUAGAUGGGGUUUCCAAAAGGAUUCCAAGCAACAAUGUUCAAACUCAAGUGUCAGUGAACUAAGCAAAUGAAAGCCAGUGUUUGUGUGUAUACGCGGACAGACCCUUCCCUGUAGCUACUGAGAUGCUGCAUGGAUUCAGCGCUUUAACCUGCUGUGGGUGUGCAAGGUGCCAGGAGUGUGCUCGUUUCUACAAUGGAGUGACGAAAUAUCCUCUCCAAUUUCCUGUGGCUCUCUUGAGUUCUAAAUUAUUGCCCCAAAGAAGCCCCAAAGAAGUAAAGGCUGUGGUAUGUAUAUUUUCAUAUGGUUAAACCCUACUGCAACAUACUUUUCCAAAGAAGGUACUUGGAAUAAUAACAGUACAGUUGUCCCUUGAACAACAUGGGUUUCAACUGUGCAGGUCCACUUAUAUGUAGAUUUUUUUCAAUAAUAUACAUACAGUGCUGUAAAUGUAUUUUCUCUUCCUUCCGAUUUUCUUAAUAACAUUCUUUUCUCCAGCUUACUUUCUUAUAAGAAUAUAGCAUAUAAUACAUAUAACAUACAAAAUAUGUGUUAAUCAACUGUUUAUGUUAUCAGUAAGGCUUCCCAUCAAGAGCAGGGUAGUUAAGUAGUUAAGUUCCCAUCAAGAGCAGGGUAGUUAAGUUUGGGGGAGUCAAGUUAUAUGUGGAUUUUUGACUACACGGGUGGGGAGGUUCUGCAGACCUACCUCUAUGUUGUUCAAGAGCAAACUCUAGGGCGCCUGGGUGGCUCAGUUGGUUGAGUGUCUGCCUUCGGCUCAGGUCAUGAUCCUGGAGUCCCGGGAUCGAGUCCCACAUCAGGCUCCCUGCUCAGCAGGGAGUCUGCUUCUCCCUCUGACCUUCCCCCCUCUCAUGCUCUCUCUCCCUCAAAUAAAUAAAUAAAAUCUUUAACAAAAAAAGAGCAAACUGUAAUGUAUAUUAAUCAUUUAUUAUGUACCAGGUUCUGUAUUAAGCAUUUAUACGUUUUAUCUCAGUUAACCCUUACAACAUUCCUAAGCAGAGAGGCACGAUUAUUGGCACCAUUUUACAAAUGGGAGAGAUAGGCUUAGAGAGACCUAGUGACUUUUCCUGAUUUACAGAAAAGCAAUAUUUUCAAAUUGGUCCCUCCAGCGCUCUUAAGCAGGGCUUUAUAUAAAACUAAUUCUCUGUCCCUACAGAUGACACAAAAUUAAGGCCAAUUCAAUUCAGUUCAAAGAUGAAUUGUCUUUCCCUCUGACCCUCUCUCCUCUCAUGUGCUCUUUCUCUCUCAUUCUCUCUCUCAAAUAAAUAAAAAAAUCUUAAAAAAAAAAAAAAA